AAGGGUUUGGAUAGAACCAAAACGGAUUCUAUUCCUUGCUUCAUAUAUGUCACCCCUAAAUGUUCGAUAUAGAACCUCAUGUGUUCUUCUUCACUGAACCAAAAUUGGUUCCACAUAGAACCCUUGGAUUCCAUAUAGGGUUCUAUAUGGAACCAAUUUCGGUUCUAUAUAUAACCUAAAGGGGUGCCAUAUAUGAAGCAAGCAUAGAACCUUUUGUGGGUUCAAUUCAGAUACUUUAUUUCUAAGAGUGUAUAAAAUACAUGCAAAUUAUACAGUUUGCGGUUUGGCAAAAUCUUUUGCAAUAUAAACCAUCAAUGCAAAUGCAAUAAAACGGUCUUUAAAUUUACUUUCACAUAGGCACAUAAUUUAUUUUUUCAUUAUCGUCAACACGUUUUUUCCCAAAGUGUGGCAUUAAUUUAUUUCAAAAUGGUGAUGAAAAAGCAAUUAUUGUCGCAAUCAUUUAAAUCCAAAACCUCUUUGAUUAAACACCACACAUCAUUCAAAUUGGAGCUAUAAAAUUAAGAACAAUUCGCCUGUAAUGAUUAUGGACUGGGUUUAUUUUGGGAAGGUGGAAUAAAACUGUAUAUAGCAUAAAUUAUCCCCUAAUUAUACGCCAGUGUCGCCCUCAAUUAUCCUCUUAUCAAAAAUGGUUGUCUAAAUGCAGCGUUUAGUUUCAAUUUUCUCCAUUUCUAUAACAAGAACUUGGUACCUUGCUAUUAUUGCCAGGCUUGUUAUUUACUUUGUGGCAUUUAAAAAGUGCACAACCCAGCCGGAUAAUCAUUUUCCAUCAGUGGACCAAGCGAGAAGCACAGAGACAGUUGGUAGAUAUGAAAUAUAUGAAAUGCCUUUUGAUAUUGGAUUUUAAACCAAGGCCUUCAUUAAAAAACCGAGACGUUUUAGGAUACCUCUAUAUGGACAUCAUAUAGUUCUACCCCACCACCAGCACCACUGCCUGUCACCCCCCCAACCCUAUAUUUCUGUUUCUCUUCAUCACCCAAUCCUCCUGUCCCUCUCUUUUCUCCCAUCUCCAUCCUAUUUCUCUUCCAACCACCCCCUCACCCCCUCUCCAUCUCCUCCUCCUCACCUUGCCCCCUCUUUCUCUCUCCCAUUCUCACCCAGACCUCCUCGCCCCUCACUCCCUCUCUCGCUCUCUCACUCCAUCCCCCACCCUCCCCCACCCCCCCCUCUCUCUUGUUGGUUUCCACAGCUGCAGAAAGUGAGGGGAGAGAUGACCGACCAGAGAAUUGGCCCUUCGGAGAGCGGCGGGCCAUCCUGAUGCUAUUAGGCUCGUGGCUAAUAAUAGGCGUUUCAAUCCGGGAGGAGAUCAAUCAGGGGGAAUCAUGGGGAAUGUUCGGAGCAGCACUUUUACACAUCAGCCCAGAUGGAUGAAAUUACACUUGUCUGUUUUUAGUUGCAUUACUCCCAAAUUGGUUGUCUACUUUUUUUCUCUCACUUAUUCUCUCUCUGCCUCUCCGUCCUUCCUCUCUCUCUUUCUUUCUCCACUCAUUCAUGUGUCACUGGGCUACUAAAAGGAUUCAGGCGCAAAAUUCCCUGUCAUUUCUGUCUUGUCCUUUGCUUAGCCGCACUCUCUCGAUUCUCUGUCACUUGCAUAUGGACUUAGCUGACAUCACUUGAGGUCUCGUCUUAUAGGUUGUUUUACUUCCAGUGAUUUGGCUGGGUUAGGUGCAAUGUUAUUCUUUGUAAAAAUGAACUUUUUAGUAAAAAAUAAAAUGAUUUGCACAGUGAAAGGAUAAGUAUUGAAUACCUGAAUAAUGAGUAACAAAUAUCCUUAUUUCAGUACACAUUUGAAUGCAAUAUUGUGUCUAUUCUACUACCACAUAUACUUACAAUCUAUUUGUGUAGGCCUGUGUAGAAUGAAGACAAACUAUUUUCAGACAUGCUUUUUCUUUUAAUAAUAUUACAGCUCCUGAAAUGCAUUGAAUGUAAUAUUUAAUAUUUCAAUCUAAUUGUAUUAAAUCUAAAUAAAUAUUUCAGAAAAUAA